UGAGGAAUAUUGGUCAAUGGCCGCAGGGCUGAACCAGCCAAGUCGCGUGAGGGAUGACGGUCCUAUGGAUUGUAAACCUCUUUUGUCAGGGAGCAAAGGGCGCCACGUGUGGCGCUUUGCGAGUACCUGAAGAAAAAGCAUCGGCUAACUCCGUGCCAGCAGCCGCGGUAAUACGGAGGAUGCGAGCGUUAUCCGGAUUUAUUGGGUUUAAAGGGUGCGCAGGCGGAAUGUCAAGUCAGCGGUAAAAUUUCGGGGCUCAACCCCGUCGUGCCGUUGAAACUGGCGUUCUUGAGUGAGCGAGAAGUAUGCGGAAUGCGUGGUGUAGCGGUGAAAUGCAUAGAUAUCACGCAGAACUCCGAUUGCGAAGGCAGCGUACCGGCGCCCAACUGACGCUGAAGCACGAAGGCGUGGGUAUCGAACAGG
rnacentral:rRNA from 1 species